ACGCAGGCAAACACAUACACUUCUUUUCUUACAUACACACAGAAACACAAUGCAUCUCAUGCACACACAUACAGACACACACCUUGCAUCCCUUAUGCAUACAAACACAGAUUCACACAAUCAGAAACACAUAAUACAUCCCUUAUACACAAAUACACACUGCUUCCACUACACACAAACACACUGCAUCACCUGCACAAACUGGUAACCCUAAACACUACAUACCAUAAGCAAACAUAUUAGAUCCUCUACAAUAACACAUAAC
rnacentral:lncRNA from 1 species